CUACGUGCCAGCAGCCGCGGUAAUACGUAGGGCGCAAGCGUUGUCCGGAAUUAUUGGGCGUAAAGAGCUCGUAGGCGGCUGGUCGCGUCUGUCGUGAAAACUUCCGGCUCAACCGGGGGCUUGCGGUGGGUACGGGCCGGCUAGAGUGCGGUAGGGGUAACUGGAACUCCUGGUGUAGCGGUGGAAUGCGCAGAUAUCAGGAAGAACACCGAUGGCGAAGGCAGGUUACUGGGCCGUUACUGACGCUGAGGAGCGAAAGCGUGGGGAGCGAACAGGAUUAGAUACCCUGGUAGUCCACGCUGUAAACGUUGGGCACUAGGUGUGAGGCUCCUUUCCGGGGGUUUUGCGCCGUAGCUAACGCAUUAAGCACUCCGCCUGGGGAGUACGACCGCAAGGUUGAAACUCAAAGGAAUUGACGGGGGCCCGCACAAGCGGUGGAGCAUGUGGUUUAAUUCGAAGCAACGCGAAGAGCCUUACCAGGUCUUGACAUCCCUCUGACCGCUCUAGAGAUAGAGUUUUC
rnacentral:rRNA from 1 species